CUGCUGCCUCCCGUAGGAGUUUGGGCCGUGUCUCAGUCCCAAUGUGGCCGUCCACCCUCUCAGGCCGGCUACUGAUCGCUGCCUUGGUGGGCCGUUACCCCGCCAACUAGCUAAUCAGACGCGGAUCCAUCGUAUACCACCGGAAUUUUUCACACUGCCCCAUGCGGAGCCGUGCGCUUAUGCGGUAUUAGCACCUAUUUCUAAGUGUUAUCCCCCGGUAUACGGCAGGUUAUCCACGCGUUACUCACCCGUCCGCCACUAA
rnacentral:rRNA from 1 species